AUGCAAGUCGAGCGGGACUACCUGAGAUUACAUCAACUGGUAGUCUAGCGGCAGACGAGUGAGUAACACGUAAGCAACCUGCCCUUGAAUGGCGAACAACCAGCCGAAAGGUUGGCUAAUACGCCGUAUACUCUCGGAGAGGCAUCUCUCUGGGAGGAUAGGCCCGCAAGGGUCGUUCAAGGUGGGGCUUGCGGCCCAUCAGCUAGUUGGCGGUGUAACGGACCACCAAGGCUAUGACGGGUACCCGGGCUGAAAGGCCGGACGGGCACGAUGGCACUGAGACACGGGCCAUACUCCUACGGGAGGCAGCAGUGGGGAAUUUUGGACAAUGGGGGCAACCCUGAUCCAGCAACUCUGCGUGAGGGACGAAGUCUUUCGGGAUGUAAACCUCUUUUUCACGGGACGAAAACCCGCAAGGGCCUGACGGUACUGUGAGAAUAAGCCACGGCUAACUAUGUGCCAGCAGCCGCGGUAAGACAUAGGUGGCGAGCGUUAUUCGGAAUUACUAGGCGUAAAGCGAGUGUAGGCGGGCGCUUAAGUCCGUUGUGAAAUCUCCCGGCUUAACUGGGAGGGGUCAACGGAUACUGGGUGUCUUGAGUGUGGUAGGGGGUACUGGAAUUCCCGGUGUAGCGGUGAAAUGCGUAGAUAUCGG
rnacentral:rRNA from 1 species